UACGGAGGGAGCUAGCGUUGUUCGGAAUUACUGGGCGUAAAGCGCACGUAGGCGGCUAUUCAAGUCGGGGGUGAAAGCCCGGGGCUCAACCCCGGAACUGCCCUCGAAACUAGAUAGCUAGAAUCUUGGAGAGGCGAGUGGAAUUCCGAGUGUAGAGGUGAAAUUCGUAGAUAUUCGGAAGAACACCAGUGGCGAAGGCGACUCUCUGGACAAUUACUGACGCUGAGGUGCGAAAGCGUGGGGAGCAAACAGG
rnacentral:rRNA from 1 species